CACGUAGGGGGCGAGCGUUGUCCGGAUUUAUUGGGCGUAAAGAGCUCGUAGGCGGCUCAGUAAGUCAGGUGUGAAAACUCCAGGCUCAACCUGGAGACGCCACCUGAUACUGCUGUGGCUAGAGUCCGGUAGGGGGAGCAUGGAAUUCCUGGUGUAGCGGUGAAAUGCGCAGAUAUCAGGAGGAACACCAGUGGCGAAGGCGGUGCUCUGGGCCGGAACUGACGCUGAGGAGCGAAAGCGUGGGGAGCAAACAGG
rnacentral:rRNA from 1 species